rnacentral:rRNA from 1 species
GCUACUACCGAUUGAAUGGCUCAGUGAGGCCUUCGGACUGGCUCAGGGAGGUCGGCAACGACCACCCAGAGCCGGAAAGUUGGUCAAACUCGGUCAUUUAGAGGAAGUAAAAGUCGUAACAAGGUCUCCGUAGGUGAACCUGCGGAGGGAUCAUUA